rnacentral:rRNA from 1 species
UACAGAGGGGGCAAGCGUUAUUCGGAAUUAUUGGGCGUAAAGAGCGCGUAGGCGGUAUUUUAAGUGAGAUGUGCAAUCCCCGAGCUUAACUUGGGAACUGCAUCUCAUACUGGAAUGCUAGAGUGCCGGAGAGGGUGGUAGAAUUCCACGUGUAGCGGUGAAAUGCGUAGAGAUGUGGAGGAAUACCAGUGGCGAAGGCGGCCACCUGGACGGUAACUGACGCUGAGGUGCGAAAGUGUGGGUAGCAAACAGGAUUAGAUACCCUGGUAGUCCACGCUGUAAACGAUGAACACUUGGUGUGGCGGGAGUUGACCCCUGCCGUGCCGUAGCUAACGCGAUAAGUGUUCCGCCUGGGGAGUACGGUCGCAAGGCUG